AGCGGUGCUCUGUAACCUGCAAUCCGCUAUAGCAGGGUUGAAGCCUAUCCGAGGGCGGGCCUUUUUAGGGUCUGGCCGCCACGGGCAGCGUUGAAGGCCGGGGCCUGCGCAAUGGGAAUCCGUGAACCCCGUCAGAUCCGGGAGGAAGCAGCGGUAAGCGGGCCUUCUCAUGUGCCGCAGGGGUUCCUGGUUGGAGCCAGCCAUGCCGGUAUCGCCUGGGGAGGCCGUUCGAAGAUAGGUGCACGG
rnacentral:SRP_RNA from 1 species